rnacentral:rRNA from 1 species
UACGAAGGGGGCUAGCGUUGUUCGGAUUUACUGGGCGUAAAGCGCACGUAGGCGGACCAUUAAGUUGGGGGUGAAAUCCCAAGGCUCAACCCUGGAAGUGCCUCCGAAACUGGUGGACUGGAGCAGAAGAGAGGCGAGUGGAAUUCCGAGUGUAGAGGUGAAAUGCGUAGAUAUGUGGAGGAACACCAGUGGCGAAGGCGACUUUCUGGACUCUUGCUGACGCUGAGGCGCGAAAGCGUGGGGAGCAAACAGG